rnacentral:lncRNA from 1 species
AUAAGUGGUAGCCUCAGCUACACUUAUCUGAUCAGUGAUAAGUGACAAGUGAUAAGUGGUAGCUUUAGCUACACUUAUCUGAUCAGUGACAAGUGAUAAAUGUGAUCAGUGUAAGACCGUGGCAGGACUAUGACUUCAAAAGGUGAUAAGUGAUCAUACGCAAGACCAUAGUUAUACUAUGGCAAAGUGAAAGUGAAGUACUCAAUUUUCCGUAACCAUUCCCUAAUUUGGUUAAAGAAUGAUAUGUGACAAAUGGGCCCAAAAGAAUUAAAGGAAAUGGAUAAGUGGUAGUAAGUUUAUACAAGGGAACUCA